CUUUCUCUUCCUUAAAUCUCAGCCACAAAGCCUUUUAUUAAUCACCUGAAGAGCACAGAAUGGCUUCAUGAAGCAGAGCUGGUGGUAGCCCAUGUGCAUGUCUUCAUUACCAGCACAGAAACACCAAAUGGUUCCUGUUCUCUUCCUGCCUGGAGACAAAGCAAAAAGGAGUCUUGCCAAGUUUCUCCUCCUUUCAGAUGCCCCUGGGGAAAUGGACACCUCCUUGGACAGAACCAGAAUUCCUGGAUGAAGAUCAUGGAUUGGGGUGUUCUGCACCCACACAGCCUCGCUGCCCUUGGUGCACACAGACACCCAGCAGGAUGGAGGGGCAAUUCCUGGGUUUCUUUUUGAGAAAGUGCUCUCCAGGCCACUGGAUCCACACUUGCCAUCAGCCACAAGAAGUGAUUCCACUUGCAGAUCAUCCUGAAAUGCAGGAAACAAAUAUCCUUCACAGGUUGAUUUCAUCUAAGCGCCUGUGAGUCCUCAACAGAGAUUGGGGUGGUCAGUAAUGGUGGUCCAGAUGUCAAGGGACAAUCCCUUUUGAACAGAGUGGAAACACCUCCAGAAAUCUGGCUUGCUCCUGGAGAAGUCAGGACUUCAGGUGGUUCCUGAGAAAACACGAGCAGAGAGCCAAUGACCACGUCUGAAGGAUGGAUGUUCCUUUCCCUGAAACCUGACCUGCCACUGUGAGCUGAGCAAGGCAGCCUGCACCACACCCUGGGAGUGCACAAGGUGACACUGGCAGCCAGAAAGUGUCUGCAAGCAAGAUGAAAACUCAGAUUGCUGGGAACAUCUUUGUCAACAUCAAGAUUCCCUAAAUAAAGCUAGAGUUCAGGGAGGGUCAGGGAGAAAAAGCAGCAAAAUGCCAGCAAAACUGGGAAAUGCUAUACAGCAUCUGACAAGCUCAGCAAAUACCAGAAUUGCCUCUCCAGUGAAGUUUAAUUAAAAAGUCUAUUGUUUCCAUUAUUGCUUAAUGAUUCCUCCAAAAGUAGAACAAAAGUUUAUUUUAGAGGUUAAUUAUUCUUGGAAUUUUAAAGGGAUAUGAGAGUAUUUUCCUCUAUCUCAUUUGGUAACUGAACCAUUAAGGAGAGUGGAGCAAAUGGUGUUGUAAGAAUUGGUUAAAAACAAUUUAGGUCUCAGAAGAAAGCUCCUCAUGUCAGAUAUCAUGGUGUUUUUGCACAAGAAAACAAUCUCCUACCAAAUUAAGUCAACUUUCUGUGCUGGAAAAAACUUGUCAAUGACUUCUCCCCAUUUGCUCCUGAAUUCUAACUGAGACACAGCAUGAGGAAAUGGUGCAGUUGUUUCUGCAAGCAAAGGAGAAAAUGGACCCAUCAGGGCAUAGCACUCACUGUGCUGCCAAGAAAGCCUGAUUCUGCUCCCUCACACUUGUCUGUGCUAAUUGCCAUGCUGGGUUUUGUCAUCUAUCCAAUAAGCCAUGCUUCAAAACUUAGGAUUCAACAUUAAAACCUCGUGCUAGUGGGGAAAAACCAAAAUAAAACAA